CCCGCCUAGACGCCCGGCCGCACCCGCCGCCUCUCACUUCCUUGGGAAUUCAGUUCCGAGCCACAUUCCCCAUUGCCCGGGGUGCACGUGCAGGCCUCCAAUUGGGGCGGAGCUGGGCUGAGGACGGGACGCGCAAGACAACAGCAAGCCACUGAAGUUUAUUGAGUAGAGGAGGAGGAGAGGUGAUACAAUCAGACCUGUGCCUUUGGAAAAUCACUUUAAUGACUGAAGAGAGGAUGAAUUGGAGUGGGCAGAUUUAAUAAACAAAAAAUCAAGCACUUACUACAUACCAGAUCCUGCUAAGCACUGGGAAUAACAGGUUAAAAAAAAUGAAAUCAUCUCUAAUCUCAAUGAGUUUCUAUACUUUUAGAAGUAUAAAACAUAAACACAAAUAACCUAUGAAUUUUUCCAUUUAUUUACAAACAACUUGGUUUCCUUGGCAUAAUAUUUGAGAACCCAGAUUCACCUCUGACUCCCCAUGUAGCACUGAAAUAAGACAGGUAUUUACAUUCACAAAUAUUGUUGCAUUAAGCCAAUCAAUAAACAUUUAUUGAGAGCCUACUAUGUGCCAGGCACUGUGCUAACAUACAAUAUUAUAUUAUAUAUUAUAUUAUAAUACAUCAUACAUUAUUUAUAUUCAUGCAUAAAUAGCACCAAGUUAAUGAAGUUUUUGAUAUUUUUGUACACACCAAAAAGAAUUCAAAAUCUAGUCCACAGAGACAUGAAAUUUCCUUUGAUGAGUUCCACCUCCUCAGGGACCCCCAAAGAAAUAUUCCUAAGGCUUAAUUAAGGUCCAAAUUUGUUCUUCCACAUUGUGACUUUUCAGCUCCCUACUCUUAAGUUUCACCUCCAGGGGCUCCUUGUCAUGACUCAAGAGGAACCUAAGUGCUACUUAUGUCACUAUUGCACUCCAUCUUCUACUUGCUGCUGCUACCAAAAAUGCUCCCUUAGUGAAAUGGCAUUGCUUUAGGAUAUGACUACCAGAGUGCCUGGGUCAACAUGCCUGGGAACCAGUUAACAUGUUUCCAGCCCUAGUGUUAAUCUUUCAAGCCUGAUUAUACACAAAAGGGCCACUGAGGAAGCUUCUGACCAGAAAGUCCCCAAUUAGUACUCUUACCUGUUCAGUAAAUAAUACCUUUUGCUUUGAAUUAAUGUGCUAUCUAGUUGGCAAACACUUUGUUGAUUGUGAAUUACACUUUUGAAUGGAAGCUGACCCAGAGAGUACUUUAUACCUGUAUAGUUUUCUGGAUAUCCACAGGUGAAGUGUUCCCUAUGCUAUAAUUUUUAUAAAUAAAUUUUAAAAUAUUCAGAGAAAAAUGGCUUGAUACCUUUAAGAAGUAUCUAGCAAACAAUUGCAAGGUACUAGCAAACAGCAGUUUAAAAAAUGGAGAUAAAUUUCCAAAGGUAAGUACUACAAAGAACCAGUAUAAAGCUUAGAAAACGCCCACCAACUUUCUAGGCUUUGUCAUGUAAGUGAGCAACUGAUUAUAUUUCAGGAUGAGUUAGUGAAGAAGGAACCUUGGAGGAUAUCAGAUGGAGAGGCAAAACAAACAAACAAACAAAAAACAACAACUUAUUUUUAAGGACUUUAUUCCUGGUUGUUAGUACCAUCUAAAAGAAAUAUUGUGUUCAUAGACUGUUCCCCUUCACAAAUGGUGAAUCAGACAGGAAACCACAUUGCCAAAGCAGCAACCCUCAUAGUUAUUCUAAGUAUUCAAAGCAAUGUGUGCUUGCUAUAUUUCUAGAAUUAAGUUUUACAAUCUGAGGGAGGAGAGAGUUACUCUCUUUAUCUUUUUCUCUUCUCUGUGUGUCUGUGACUCAUGUCUUUUUUUUCUGUGUAUCUGUCUCUCUUUUUCUACCUCUUUGUCUUUUGUCUCCAUCUGUCUGUCUCUCUGAACACAAGAAAUAUCUAGGGGUGGUCAUUUAUCUCUAGGAGUUAUCCCCAAACAAUUCUUUUCUUAGCCUAAUUUUAACCAUAUUCUCAAUCUUCUCAAAGCCAUACUCAAAUUAAGGCUGAGAAAUUUUCUGUGAAGUCUUGUAAUAAUUCAUUAUGUCUAUGUGGAAACAGUUAUGUAUGGCACAGGCCAUCAAAUUAUAUUUAUUUACAAUUUUUUAAUCCUCUGCUUAAGCUCUGCCUAAACUUUCAUAAAUCAUGGUUUAAUCUUUCUUCCCUCUACAGUAAAAAAAAAUUGUAUAUACAAAUGUAUAAAAUAGAAGAGAAAAAUAGAUAAUUACCAAAAUAAUAUUUUCAUUUAAGGAUUUAAAAACCUAAAAUGGAAAGCUAAGUUGCCAAGGAGAAAGUGAUCACUAUAAUUUCACAGCUUCUUUUUUCCCCCUGGUUAGUAUUUCAAUCAACAGAUCAAUCAAAAAGUAUUUCAUUAGGCACCUUCUAUGUGCUAGUUCCCUGGGGUUAGGAAAACAAAGAUGAAAUAGUCCCUGCCUUCAGAGAGCUUACAUUCUACUAGGAGGAUACAAACUGUUCAAGCAUAAAAGUAAAUACAAGAUACAGCAUAUACAAAAUAAAUACACAAUGAUUGGGUGAGGGAAGGAAGAGUAUAGCACUAACUCCAGCGGAAUCAGGAAAGAUCUCCUAUAGGAAGCUAUCCUUAAGGUAAGUCUUUGAUUGUAGCUAGUGAGUGGAUUCUAAAAGAUGAAGGUAAAGAGACACCAGUCAUGUUAAGGGAAGAUGGAAUGUUGUAUAUGGGAGCGAUGAGUAGAUCCAUUAAGCUAAAGUAUGAGGUACAAUAAUAUGUUAUUAACCUGUAAAGAUUGGCUAGAACCAGUAACUUUAGCAAUAACAUCAGAGGAUAGAUUGAUAUUGAGUUUAUUCACUAUCUACUAAAACGGGAUAUCAUAAAUUUUUUCACAUGGGAAUAGGUCAAUUUGAAAUAAUGAAGCACUUAAAUUGAAAAAAAUAGUGAAAGAUUUCCAGUGGCACCAAAAUAAUAGUAGUUAAUAUUUAUAGAGACGUUUAAGGCUUAUAAAGUGCUUUAUAGAUACCUAAUUUGAUUCUUACAGCAGCCUAGUGAGAUAAGUACUAUUUUUCUUCUUUACAAAUGAGAAAACAGAUUUACUGGAGUUACUCAGCUAGGAAGUAUUCGAUGAAGGUUAAAGUCAGACUGCUUGACUCUAAGAACAUAGUGCUUUUCUUGACACUUUUGGCAAUCAUUUCAAAUGUAUAUCUAGGACUUUAUUUAGAAUUUCAGACAUUGAGUUUUAAUAUAAACCCAAACUUCAGAGUCUCUACCUUUUAGAAAGUGGGAGGAUUAAUAAUAGACCUAUCAUACAUACUAUGGAAAAAUGUUCCUCAUCAUUUAACGCAUUGCUGGCUGCCCCUUGAAGCAUCAGACUGUCUUGGGUACACUUCCUUUUACCUUUUCUCUUGCUCUGAAGAGUCAGCUAUUCAGUGAUUUUGAGGCAAAGAAGACUUUUUUCCCCAGCAGAGUCUGAGAAGGGUCUUCCUAGCCCCUCCUUUCAUAAAAAAAAAAAAAUGACCAGAACAGAAGGUUGGUUGUUUUCCCUUUGAGAGAUGAAGGCUUAACAGAAGUCUCUGCCAAGUUUUUUAAUCUAAUUUAAUUUUUUCAACUUAAAAAUAUUUUUCCUCUCUAUCCCAUAUCCCUCCUCUUAAAGAAAAGUGCCCUUGUAAUAAAUACAUUUAGUCAAGCAAAACAAAUUCCCAAACUGACCAUAUCCAAAAUAUGACUCAAUGUAUACUCUAAGUUUAUCAUCUCUAUCAAAAGGUGAGUCCCAUAUAUCAUUGUAAGUCAUCUAGAAUCCUGGUCAGUCAUUGAAUUAAUCAGAGUCCACAUAUUUCUCAAAGUUGUUGUUUUUUUGUUUUUUUUUUACAACACUGGGUUUAAAUUCUGUGUUUCCACUAUGCCCUUCACUGUGCCCCAAGAUCACUAAACAGUGUGUGUCCCUUUUGACUCUGAUUCCACUACUAUUUCCCAAAGAGAUUCAGAAAAGGAGGAAAAGAACUCAUAAGCAUAAAAAUAUUUACAGUAGAUCUUUUAUAACCACAAAGAACUGGAAACACAAAGAGGAGUGCCUAUCAAUUGGAGACUGGCUAAACAAAUUAUGGCUUAUAAAUAUAAUAGAAUACUAUUCGUUGUGGUACAAGAAAUGAUGUAGGAAGUAGUUUCAGAAAAGCCCAGGAACAUGUAUAUGAACUCUAAUAGGUUUUUGUGGCCACAAGGAGAGUGAAGAAAGCCAGACUAAAAGCAUGGAGAUGCCUGCAACUAGGAGCAACAAGUAUCACCUGAAGCAAAGCAAAGGAGAAGCAAUAUCAGAGACCAAGAGCAGAUAGAUUGUAAGAGAGUGAUUGCUAUCCUGAGCCACAUCUUUCUAAAGAAAUAGCAUGGUAUUAUGGAAUAAGCACUGAAUAGAAUAAGAGAACCUGAAUUUAAAUCUCUUAUAUGUCUCUGCUACUGAUUAUGUAAACUGCAAAAAUCACUUAACCCACCUGAGCUUCAUCAGGAAAAAUAUGGGAGUUGGACCAUUCACCUCCAAACUCUUAGUCUUAUGAUGUCUGCCAGCCAUAUUGCCACAAUAAAUGAGAGCUUUGGAAAUACAACAUCAGAUGUAAUAUAAUUUUUCCUUAAUCAUGGCUUAGUAAUUCAAGAAAUUUUGAAGAUUGAAAAGAUAGUUGGAAAAAGAGACCACAAAAACUCAAGAAAAAAAGUGAUCUUAUGUAAUCUUUCAUCAGAGAUGAUGGUUGUCUUACUUGUAAUAUGUCAACAGCAGAAAGAAACAGGAACCCUCAGUUAUAACCUGUUACUAAUAUCAUAGGCAAAAUUUCAACAAAAAAAGAACAUAUGGAAAAUCAUGUUAUCAUACAACACUCUCAGAGAAUAUCAAUCAAAAUGUUUGCUGCAGUAAACUGUGUUCUUGUGAUUUCUACUGUACAAAUGAUAUUAUCCCAGAAAAGGGAUAAUUGUAAAAUAAACAUUAGAACUAAAAAGGAAAUAUGCAAUUCAAGUUUUCUCUUGAAACAAACCACAUUACUUCCCUUUAUAUGUUUGCAAAUUGUACGGCUUCUGGUCACAGAUUUUUGCAUUUGCAUUUUACUUAAUAGAGUUAUACCUAAAAUAAGUGUAUUCUCAUAGACUGAUGCUUUUACAAUUGAUUUUGAAUUACAAUUAAAAUAGCAUUUCUCUGUCUUUUUGAUUUUUUUUUAUAGAAUCAAAGCUAUUUUCCCCAAAUCAAAGGGGAUUUGGGGAGUCAUAGAAUUUGUUCCUCUUCUUUUUCUAAAAGAAGAAAUGAAGCCCAAAUUGCCUAAGUGAUUUGUCCAAGAUCAUACAUCUAGUCAGUGAUUGCUAGUCCCUGUCUUCUUCAGACAAUGCUGUCUUUUCAUCACUAACCAUUCUCAAAUAUGACAGCCAUCCUAGCAGACAUAGUAUCAUGACUACAGACACUCCACAGCUGAGAAAAUGAUCUACUGCAUUACUAUUCCUUUUGCUAUUUUAUCAGCUUCAGUACCAAUAGGAAGCCAUUUCUUCAACAGUGAUGAUAUAGUUAGCCAUCAUUUGGAGAAAAGACAAGUUUGCCCAGAGAUCUGUAAACUAUGAAUCUGACCUUACCUCAGACUUAGAGUUAGACAGCUCCUUAAAUGCCAUCAAGUCAUGAGCCUGAAUUUCCAAAUGCCUUCUAAACUCUUCUAUUACAUGACUAAAACUGGACAAAGUUGAUGUAGUUUCCCAGAAUUACUCCUGAGAAUAACGGAAAUGAGAAGAAUCAGCCUCAAUGAGCAAUGAUUAACAUUUUCAUUAGAAUAUUUGCCAUUAUGAGCCAGUGAUGAUUUAUAUUUCUCUUGUCCAAGUAAUUGUAGCCAAGUAAGGAAAACCUCAUAACCAGAUUGGCCACCGGUUGAUGAAUAUUUCUAUAUUUCUGACUCUAAUGCCUUUCAAAGAUCAUCUUCUAAGUUUCAGAAAGAUUGCAAUCUGUAUCAGUGCAGGGAGUCCCUAAACCAGGAAAAGAUAUUAUAGAAUUUUGAAAUUUUAAAGUAUUUUGCCUAAAUGUUUUUUAAAUAAUUAUACUGUCUAUCCAUGGUAUAACUAAAUUAACCUUUGUGGAAUAUAACCUACUAACAAAAAUCAUCAACCUCAAUACAGAAUACAGAAUUAAUUUCUUACACAGUUUUCAAAACUCUUUUUUUAAACUAAAGAUUAUAAUUAUGAAGAAACGAAGAAGAGCCUUCAUAAAUUCCUAUGUUUUCCUCCAUUCUAUCUAGUGAAUUCUAGAGGAGUAGAUAUGAAAGAAAAGGAAACAGAGCCUGAUAAAAGGAAAUGUGGUAUCUUAAAUUUCUGAUUAUUUCUUUGCCUCUACUUCCCUAUGAGUCAUAUAGACAUCCAGAGCAGUCACUAGGAAACCAAAUAAUAUAGCCACAAGCUAUACCAGAAAAAAAAGGAAAUCAAUGAAAUAACCAGCAUCACUUCCCCUUUAAGCAAACUUUAAAAACAUAAGGGGAAAAUAAUAUGGGAAAUUAAUCAAUUUUUGUCUUGCUAAUUAAAAAAGGCUUAAUAACUAUACUACUACUGGCUAUUAUCAUUGAUUGCAAAGUUAAUCAAAGUAACAAAAACUUCACGGCUCUAUAUUUGUACUGCUAUGUUUGAUUAUUACCAACUACAUACUCAUUUAAAAAGGAAGCUCUGAAAUGAGCCAUCACAUACUUGUGAUGCCUCUAAGUUUGUAUGUUUUUAAACAUUAAUUGAAUAAAAGAAAAAUAUCUGUUUGUCCAACAAAGUAAACAAAAAAUCUUUUAGUAUGUAUCUGUGAUUUCUUUGGAACAUCCAGUAUGGAAAUUGUUGCUACCAAUACAGAUCAGCUGUAAGUGAUAGUCUUAGAAAGUUGCCUAGACACUAAGAGGUAAAAUGGCUUGACCACAAGUAGGCAACUCUCCUCUGUCAAAGGCAAGACUUGAAAAUUGAUCUCCUUAACUGCAAAGCUAGCCCAUUCAGGCUUGGUCUCCAAAAGAAGAUAAGUGUUAGUAAAAAGUACUUAAAUUUAUGCUGGAAUAUAAAGACAGUUGACUAGAGGAGGAAAUACCUUUAUUUGUUCUGCCUUUCAAUUCAUAUUCAUGAGAAUAAUACAAAAGACACACACACUUGGACCUCCCAAUUCAUACUCAUACUUGGAACAUAUUGUGAAGCACUCAUCUCACAUCUUCUUGAACUAACCUUGAAAGGUUUCUGGAUUUGGUUUCCAUCUAAGGUCAUUGUAACCAAGUUAAAAUAAAGCAAAAGAGAGAACUCAAAUAUAGACUAUGGAAGAAUUCCAUUUCAUCCAGAAAUAGAAGAGAAAGAGAAGUUAAUCCCAAGGAUCACCAAAUAACUUCAGAUAGAAAAUAAAGUAGAUUUUAAUAAUGGGAUGAUGUCAGUAAUCAUAACAAUUUAUACAAAGUUCUGAGGACAUUAACGAUUUUUAUUUAGAACUCUUAAACUUACUGGGACUGAUAUUAACAGCUUCUACAAUCCCUUUAAUAUCUAUCCACCAUCCAUUCUCCAAAGGCAAAAUACCGAUUUGCCCAAUAUAACAUAGCAAAUAAAAUCUUGUCAGGGAAGUUUCAUAAUUUUGUAACAUAAUUUAUGUUCUAUAUCAAUGUGGCAAAAAAAGAGCUAACUAAGGCAUUCAAUAUGCAGACUUUAAAAUGUACUGUUAAUGCUCUUUUCAUUUCAUUUUUCUGGCCAGUACCCAGCAUGGGGUAGUGAAAAUUGUACUAGAUUGCUCUUUAGUUCCCAAGACUUGAGUUCUCACCACUUCUAACUAAGGCAAGUUACAAGGCAGAUUCUUUUUUGACUCUGUGCUCUCUUAGUGGGAAAAUUAUGAAUUUGGACUAGAUCAAGGGUCCUUAACCUGAGAGGUAUAUGAAUUGAUUUCUAGGAGUUCCUUUAUUGUAAUAUAAGUGGUUUCUUUUAGAAGUCUUAACAUAUGUCCUAUGUAAUAGGACCUUAUUAACAGAAGGGGCCCAAAGGCUUCACUAGACUGCUCAAAGGAUCUUUAACACACAAAACCCCAGCCAAGAUGAUUCCUAAAUUCCCCCCUCUCUUUAUAAUUCUAGAAAUCGUUACCUACCCAACUAAACAGGUUAAUUCUCUGGAUCACAGAGGUAAAGUAUUAAAAGAAUUAGUACAAUACUCUAAAAAAAAAAAAACCAGCCAAUUUGUUUGGAAUGGUAAACAAAAAGGGAGGUUUAAAGUGAUCCUAAGGGUAUUUUUGAAAACUAUUUCAUGCUUGGAGUUAAAAAUCACUGUGGUUUGGAAAGAAUGCUUGGCAUCUUUAUGUCAUACAUUUUUUCUUUUUUUAAAUCCUUUCAGUUUGGAAGUAAAUCUUAGAAGAGUAUAAGAUCAAAAGACAGCAAAAGCAUUAUGUUCACAUCCCAAUGAAUUCAUAGUUUUAAGAAUGAAAAAUGAGAUUACAAUCAUUGUAUUUUCUGGAUAGAGAUAAGUCCUAUAUCAUAGGUAUAAUUGAAGAUUACAGACCAAAAUUAAUUAAGAAGGAAAUACAUGGUUUAAGUGUUCCAAAUUCCUGAAUGGAGUACCUGGUAGCAUCCUAACAAUCACAAAACACAUGACACAUGAGAUUUCAUUGUAUAGAACAAAGCACAAAAGCAAAUUAAUGAGUUAGAUUUUCCAGCAAAAGAUCAGGAAAUGAACUGAGGUCAACACAUGUUAGAAUGUCAAGUUUUGAGUUCAAGCAGUUGGUUGUAUGUACCAGAUGGGACAACUCUAUGUAUUAAUUAUUUGGCUUUAGAUUCCCAUGGCCCCAAAGACCAGUGUGAAGAUGUAACCCCCAUCAGAGAAGGUAUUCAAAAGGAGAAACAAAAUACCAGGUGGCAACAGUGAUUUGAACGUACCAUGCCCUUGAAGCAGAAUCUCUGUGUACCUAAAUCACAGCAUUAUGUGAGAUCUCCUGAGCCAAGAAGACAAUGCUGUACAAUGGAAAGUAUGUUGGACUUAGAAGAUCACUUACUAGCUCUUGAUUUACUAAGAAUUCACUUACUUAUCUCUUAGUUACUUACUAGCACUUAUUAUGUUUCAUCCCCAAUUUAUCCCUCUUCCCUAUUACUAUUGAGGAUAAUAUCUUUCCAGUCACCCAGGUACUGAUCUUGGGUCACCCUCAACUUCUCACUCUUCUUCCCUCAAUGGAUAGGCUCCCAGAUCUGGUCUUUUCUAUCUCCCAGUAUUACAUCUGUCUCCUUUUCUCCACUCCCAAAGUCACCACCAUAACUCAUGGCCUUAUCACCUCUAUUCUGAAUUACUGCUAUAGCCUUCUGAUUGAUUUCCCAGGUUUAGAUCUCUCCCCACUCCAAACCAUUCUCGAAUCCUUUAAUACACCUUGACAGUAAAAUCCAGUGGCUUCCUCUCACACUUCUAGGAUCAAAUAUAAACUUCUUUCUUUGUCACUCAAAGUUCUUCAUAACAUGGUCCCAAUUUACCCACCCACCCAUUGCACAUUACUCCAUUCCACACCUGACCUUAUUCUUGAGUUCCAUUUUUUGUCUCCUUGUCUUUCUACUAUUUCCCCUAUGCCUUUAACACAUUCCCUCUUUAUCUUUGCCUCUUAUAAUCCCUAGUUUCUUUCAAGACUCUACUCAAUUAAAAUCUUCCAUAUAAGAUCCUAACAGAUCCCCCAUUUCAUCCACCUCCCCCCAAAUUACCUGGUUGCUCUUGAAUGGACCCCUGGUUUAGAAGGCCAGCUGGGUGGGAGUCUCCUCUUUUAUACAGGUCCAUGUUGACUUACCGGAGGGACUGGGUGGAAUUAGCAAAAGUACAGAAAAGAGUCAGUCUCUUGGCUAUAUAACUUGGGGCAGAGUAAGUCACUUCAGCUCACAGGGUUCUAGGCAGCUGUCUUGGACUGUAAUCUUUGGAGUAGGUGCUGAUUGCAUUAGUAGAGUUUCUACUCUACUAGUACUACUACUACUCUACUCUACUACUCUUCUAGUAGAGUGCUCCCUUGAGCAAGUUACUUUAGCCUCUUGUUUGCCUUAGUUUUCUCAACUGUGAAACUAAGAUCAAAUGAAAUAAUAUUUAUAAAGCACUAAACAUACUCUUUAUAAAGCACUUAACAGUGCUUGGCACAUAGUUCACACUAUAGAAUUGCUAUUAUUAAUGAAAAUCCCAGGUACAGUCCACAUUUCUAAAUAUAUACAUGUUUUGUCUUUAUGGCCCCAGUACCUGAUAUGUAACAGGUGUUUCAUAAAUGUUUGCUGAAAUUAGAGUGUAUGAUUAUAAUGGAACACUAACUAUUGUGCUAUAAAAAUUGCAAAAGGGAAGUUUCCAGAGAAACUUUGGAAUAACAACAAUGAUAACAAUAAUUAUUAGCAUUUACAUAAUGAUUUAAGGCUCACAAAGUACUUUAUAUAUGCACCCCCAGCAGAUCUACACAGCAGUCUGGUGUUUGUUGCUGUUCAGUCUUUGUCCAUCAUAUCCAAAUCUUCGUGACCCCAUUUGGGGUUUUCUUGGCAAAGUUACUGGAGUGGCUGGCCAUUUCAAUCUCCAGUUCAUUUUACAGAAGAGGAAACUGAGGCAAACAGAGUUAAAUAGAUGCUAUUAUUAUUCCUAUUUUACAGAUAAGGAAACUGAGGUUAAGACAAGAUUUGUGUGAACAGAUACAAAAUAGGGUGUGAAACCAGGAGAAUAAUUUUUAUAAUAACAGCAACAUAAUGAAGACAACUCUGAAAAGAUUAAGAACUGUGGUCGAUGCAAAGACCAACCAUGAUUCUAGAAGACUGAUAAAGCAUCAUCAUGCUAGAGGGGUGAGAUACUAAAAAGGCAGAAAGAGACAUACAGUUUCAGAAAUGAACAAUGUGAAAAUUUCUUUUGCUUGGCUAUGACUAUUUGUCACAGAGUAGUGAUUAUAUUUCCUUCUCCAAAAAGAAGCCUGGGAUGGGAGAAAAAAAAUGUUUGUUACUUGAAAAAAAAUAAAA